GUCAGGAUGGCCGAAAGGUCUAAGGUUGCUGCAAUCAGGUCCUAGUCCUCUUGCGUGGGUUCGAAUCCCACUUCUGACA